CUCUUAUCCCGAGAUGGUGGAGGGUCAAGGCCCUAUGAAACCCGGCAACCUGCAUUAUUCAUUUAAUGCGAUGGUGCCAACCUGAUGCAAGGGAAUACCCUUGAACGAUAAGAG
rnacentral:ncRNA from 2 species